rnacentral:rRNA from 1 species
UGGGGAAUAUUGCACAAUGGGCGCAAGCCUGAUGCAGCCAUGCCGCGUGUAUGAAGAAGGCCUUCGGGUUGUAAAGUACUUUCAGUCGGGAGGAAGGUGGUAAGGUUAAUAACCUUGGCAAUUGACGUUACCGACAGAAGAAGCACCGGCUAACUCCGUGCCAGCAGCCGCGGUAAUACGGAGGGUGCAAGCGUUAAUCGGAAUUACUGGGCGUAAAGCGCACGCAGGCGGUUGAUUGAGUCAGAUGUGAAAUCCCCGGGCUUAACCCGGGAAUUGCAUCUGAUACUGGUCAGCUAGAGUCUUGUAGAGGGGGGUAGAAUUCCAUGUGUAGCGGUGAAAUGCGUAGAGAUGUGGAGGAAUAUCGGUGGCGAAGGCGGCCCCCUGGACAAAGACUGACGCUCAGGUGCGAAAGCGUGGGGAGCAAACAGG